UGGAUAAACAGUAUAUCACAUUAGAAACAUAGUUAAAGGUUGUGGAUAUACAGUAUAUCACAUUAGAAACCUAGUUAAAGGUUGUGGGUAUACAGUAUAUCACAUUAGAAACCUAGUUAAAGGUUGUGGAUAUACAGUAUAUCACAUUAGAAACCUAGUUAAAGGUUGUGGAUAAACAGUAUAUCACAUUAGAAACAUAGUUAAAGGUUGUGGGUAUACAGUAUAUCACAUUAGAAACAUAGUUAAAGGUUGUGGAUAAACAGUAUAUCACAUUAGAAACAUAGUUAAAGGUUGUGGGUAUACAGUAUAUCACAUUAGAAACAUAGUUAAAGGUUGUGGGUAUACAGUAUAUCACAUUAGAAACCUAGUUAAAGGUUGUGGAUAAACAGUAUAUCACAUUAGAAACAUAGUUAAAGUUGUGGAUAUACAGUAUAUCACAUUAGAAGCAUAGUUAAAGGUUGUGGGUAUACAGUAUAUCACAUUAGAAACCUAGUUAAAGGUUGUGGAUAUA